rnacentral:rRNA from 3 species
AGAGUUUGAUCAUGGCUCAGAUUGAACGCUGGCGGCAGGCCUAACACAUGCAAGUCGAGCGGUAGCACAGAGAGCUUGCUCUCGGGUGACGAGCGGCGGACGGGUGAGUAAUGUCUGGGAAACUGCCUGAUGGAGGGGGAUAACUACUGGAAACGGUAGCUAAUACCGCAUAAUGUCGCAAGACCAAAGUGGGGGACCUUCGGGCCUCAUGCCAUCAGAUGUGCCCAGAUGGGAUUAGCUAGUAGGUGGGGUAAUGGCUCACCUAGGCGACGAUCCCUAGCUGGUCUGAGAGGAUGACCAGCCACACUGGAACUGAGACACGGUCCAGACUCCUACGGGAGGCAGCAGUGGGGAAUAUUGCACAAUGGGCGCAAGCCUGAUGCAGCCAUGCCGCGUGUGUGAAGAAGGCCUUCGGGUUGUAAAGCACUUUCAGCGGGGAGGAAGGCGAUAAGGUUAAUAACCUUGUCGAUUGACGUUACCCGCAGAAGAAGCACCGGCUAACUCCGUGCCAGCAGCCGCGGUAAUACGGAGGGUGCAAGCGUUAAUCGGAAUUACUGGGCGUAAAGCGCACGCAGGCGGUCUGUCAAGUCGGAUGUGAAAUCCCCGGGCUCAACCUGGGAACUGCAUUCGAAACUGGCAGGCUAGAGUCUUGUAGAGGGGGGUAGAAUUCCAGGUGUAGCGGUGAAAUGCGUAGAGAUCUGGAGGAAUACCGGUGGCGAAGGCGGCCCCCUGGACAAAGACUGACGCUCAGGUGCGAAAGCGUGGGGAGCAAACAGGAUUAGAUACCCUGGUAGUCCACGCCGUAAACGAUGUCGAUUUGGAGGUUGUGCCCUUGAGGCGUGGCUUCCGGAGCUAACGCGUUAAAUCGACCGCCUGGGGAGUACGGCCGCAAGGUUAAAACUCAAAUGAAUUGACGGGGGCCCGCACAAGCGGUGGAGCAUGUGGUUUAAUUCGAUGCAACGCGAAGAACCUUACCUGGUCUUGACAUCCACAGAACUUUCCAGAGAUGGAUUGGUGCCUUCGGGAACUGUGAGACAGGUGCUGCAUGGCUGUCGUCAGCUCGUGUUGUGAAAUGUUGGGUUAAGUCCCGCAACGAGCGCAACCCUUAUCCUUUGUUGCCAGCGGUCCGGCCGGGAACUCAAAGGAGACUGCCAGUGAUAAACUGGAGGAAGGUGGGGAUGACGUCAAGUCAUCAUGGCCCUUACGACCAGGGCUACACACGUGCUACAAUGGCAUAUACAAAGAGAAGCGACCUCGCGAGAGCAAGCGGACCUCAUAAAGUAUGUCGUAGUCCGGAUUGGAGUCUGCAACUCGACUCCAUGAAGUCGGAAUCGCUAGUAAUCGUAGAUCAGAAUGCUACGGUGAAUACGUUCCCGGGCCUUGUACACACCGCCCGUCACACCAUGGGAGUGGGUUGCAAAAGAAGUAGGUAGCUUAACCUUCGGGAGGGCGCUUACCACUUUGUGAUUCAUGACUGGGGUGAAGUCGUAACAAGGUAACCGUAGGGGAACCUGCGGUUGGAUCACCU